AGCGACAGGCUUAACACAUGCAAGUCGAGGGGCAUCGGGAAUUGUAGCAAUACGAUUUGCCGGCGACCGGCGCACGGAUGAGUAACACGUAUGCAACCUGCCCAUCGCAGGGGGAUAAGCGGGAGAAAUUCCGUCUAAUACCGCGUAACAUCAUUUAUAGGCAUCUGUAGAUGAUCAAAGAAAUUCGGCGAUGGAUGGGCAUGCGGCGCAUUAGCUAGUCGGCGGGGUAACGGCCCACCGAGGCGACGAUGCGUAGGGGUUCUGAGAGGAAGGUCCCCCACACUGGUACUGAGACACGGACCAGACUCCUACGGGAGGCAGCAGUGAGGAAUAUUGGUCAAUGGGCGAGAGCCUGAACCAGCCAAGUCGCGUGAGGGACGACGGUCCUAUGGAUUGUAAACCUCUUUUGUCGGGGAGCAACGAGACCACGUGUGGUCGAAGAGAGAGUACCCGAAGAAAAAGCAUCGGCUCACUCCGUGCCAGCAGCCGCGGUAAAUACCGAGGAAGCGAGCGUUAUCCGGAUUUAUUGGGGUUAAAAGGUGCGUAGGCGGAAAUUUAAGUCAGUGGUUAAACUUGCGGGGCUUCAACCCCCGUAUCGCCCAUUUGAAAACUGGAAUUUUUAGAGUGGGGUGAGAAAUUACGCGGAAAUGCGUGGUGUAGCCGGAAAAAUGGCAAUAGAUAUCACGCCAGAACUCCGGAAUGCGAAGGGCAGCGGUACCGGCGCCCAACUGACGCUGAAGCACGAAAAGCGUGGGGUAUCGAACAGGAUUAGAUACCCUGGUAGUCCACGCAGUAAACGAUGAAUACUAAUUGUUCGGCAAGAAUGGUUGCUGAGUGAUACAGCGAAAGCGUUAAGUAUUCCACCUGGGGAGUACGCCGGCAACGGUGAAACUCAAAGGAAUUGACGGGGGCCCGCACAAGCGGAGGAACAUGUGGUUUAAUUCGAUGAUACGCGAGGAACCUUACCCGGGCUCAAACGACAGGGGAAUAUCAUGGAAACGUGAUAGCCAGCAAUGGUCGCUGUCGAGGUGCUGCAUGGUUGUCGUCAGCUCGUGCCGUGAGGUGUCGGCUUAAGUGCCAUAACGAGCGCAACCCCCAUUGAUAGUUGCUAACAGGUUAGGCUGAGGACUCUAUCGAGACUGCCGGCGCAAGCUGUGAGGAAGGCGGGGAUGACGUCAAAUCAGCACGGCCCUUACGUCCGGGGCGACACACGUGUUACAAUGGCAGGUACAGCGGGAAGCCAUAUGGCGACAUAGCGCAGAACCCGAAAACCUGUCUCAGUUCGGAUUGGAGUCUGCAACUCGACUCCAUGAAGCUGGAUUCGCUAGUAAUCGCGCAUCAGCCACGGCGCGGUGAAUACGUUCCCGGGC
rnacentral:rRNA from 1 species